UACAGAGGUCUCAAGCGUUGUUCGGAUUCAUUGGGGCGUAAAGGGUGCGUAGGUGGCGCGGUAAGUCGGGUGUGAAAUUUCGGAGCUUAACUCCGAAACUGCAUUCGAUACUGCCGUGCUUGAGGACUGGAGAGGAGACUGGAAUUUACGGUGUAGCAGUGAAAUGCGUAGAUAUCGUAAGGAAGACCAGUGGCGAAGGCGGGUCUCUGGACAGUUCCUGACGCUGAGGCACGAAGGCCAGGGGAGCAAACGGG
rnacentral:rRNA from 1 species